AUGGUUGGUUGAUUGGUUGGUUGGUUAAUUCCGUUAACGAACGAGACCUUAACCUGCUAAAUAGUUGCUCGUAAUUU
rnacentral:rRNA from 14 species